ACACUGAUAGUGUAGUGGUUAGCAUAAGUGCCUUCCAAUGGAUUAGCACUUGACCGGGGUUCGAAUCCCCGUCAGUGUA
rfam:Trichosporon oleaginosus strain IBC0246 unplaced genomic scaffold CC85scaffold_47, whole genome shotgun sequence.